GUGAAGCUGGAUUCGCUAGUAAUCGCGCAUCAGCCAUGGCGCGGUGAAUAACGUUCCCGGGCCUUGUACACACCGCCCGUCAAGCCAUGGGAGCCGGGGGCACUUGAAGUACGCCGCCGCGAGGAGCGUCCUAGAGUGAAACUGGUGACUGGGGCUAAGUCGUAACAAGGUAUC
rnacentral:rRNA from 1 species